rnacentral:ribozyme from 1 species
UGCCCAGCAACUCCUAUCCCUACCUCCACGCGGUACCGGCCGGAAACUAUGAGCAACCUUAGGGAAGAUCGGGUAACCAACCCCGGUGGGAACUAGGUCGUAGGCUGACAGGGAAGG